AACCCUUAUAUUGCUGUCUUCCCACUGGUCAGCAGACUUUCAGUAACUCUGCCUUGCUGUAAGGUGCAUCACAGUGUUGUGCAUUAGAGCAGUGUGGGCCACACAGGCAACUGGCAUGUUUCAAACUUCCACAGAUUUCUUGGCUUCAUUAUCAGGAGAAGUAUGCGAUCCCAUAGGUAAUGUUCAGUAAGAGAUGUAUCUGUCCUGCCCCGUCUCAGACUGAUCACGUUCUGCCCUCUGUCUCCUUGGCUGUAGGGCUCCUCUUCACUGGCUGUGAACUCCUUAAGUAAGGUUCCUGAUGUUCAUGUUUGUUCUCUAAGGUUGAGCACAGGGUCGGUCCCUGGAACAGAGCCGUUGCAUUGCAGUUGAACUUCUAGUAGCCAAGGCAAACCUCUGGACCCUCUGUGGUAGCACCAGGAUCCACCAACAGGCAACACAAGCUGAGGCCCGGAGGCUUCUGUGGGACCAUGUAUGAUUCCACUUCAUCUCCUGCAACCCUGUUGCUCUCCAAUAUGGCAAGAGGAGCAUUGGGUCUUCCUCCUUUGUUAAGACAUUUAUACCAGUUGAGCAAGAAGUCGGUGCUAGAGCGGCAGCAGCCGGUUUGGAGCGCAGUCUCUUCCUCAUGGAACCCUGGCCGGAUCACUGGUCUUCACCACCACUGUAAACUUCUAAAUUCCCUCUUGUUAAACAAAUUAGAGUGGGUUCAAGGUUAUAUUUUGAUAUUAAUAGUUU
rnacentral:lncRNA from 1 species